CUAAGUUUUAAGAGGUUGUCACCCCUGGGGGUGCCCAUGCUAUUUGCUGCCCUACAGAGAGCAGUGCAGGUUUGCUAGGUGCAGCUAAAUGACACAUAGAAGCUAUGGCUGUUUCCGUUCUUGGUAAAAAUUACAUUAGAGAUAUCUGAAAUGAAAUGCUUGUCAUGAAUUCAAAAGAAAAUGUCAUGGGAAAUUUCUCUUUCCAAAAAGCUCUGAAAUUUCUGAAGAAAUUUUGGAACAAGGUGGAACAUCUUUCUCUCCCAGUUCUGUGAUAUUUAAUGGAAAGGAAUUUUUUCUUUCAUCAGCUCUAGUGGUUUUAUAACAGCCAGCGCUCCUCCACUCUCUCACUUUAGCAACAAAAUGGAAUUUUAUCAGAAUUCAAACUUGGCAGAGCUAGAACUACUGGCUAUGCUUGGCUUCACAUAGCUUGCCGUUUGGUUUUUUGUUUCCACUUUUAAAUUUUAUUUUUUUUUAAACUUGGUAUGCAUUAGUAAUGUCAGAUUAAAAGCCUUCUUCCUGAGGAUGAAUGCACAGCCACUGGAAAGCACGUAACAAGUACAAGAAAAGACAAAGAAACAAGCAUGGGGAAAAGAUUCGGAUAUGAAGAGCCAUACAGCAAGGUGUCAGCAUGCAUUGACAGUCCAAAACAGAAAGGGAGUCCUCGCGGGAACAGCUCCCUGGAUGUAAAACCAAGAGUUAUGCCCACGGCCACAUCCUCUGAAGUAGCUGCUGAAAUAAAUCAGGUAUAAAGAGCCUGGGAACAGCUUUCAUCAUCCACUUCCUUGGCACCCUUUCUCGAUUGGUGUCAGUGAGCUCAAGAAUGGGGUCUGAAAGUGGCCUGCCUGUGUGUCGCCUGCCCCUAUUUCUGUCUCUGUGGCAGGGCUCAGAGGAACAGUGAAUUUCUUUUUAUUUUUGGGUAUUUUGCAUGUGAGACUAAUAUAACCGUCUAUGCAAUUGCCUAUAUUGAAUCCUUAAAAUGUAUAUGUGCCUGUGUGUACAACUGACAUAGUUAAAGAGAGAGGGUGUUGGUUUGGAAUUGUUUUCUAUUUCAAAAUUGUUGUCAAAUUGCAUUAAGAAAGGAGGACGAAACUGAACAAAACUAUCAGACAAGAAAGAUAAACUCACAUGAAUUCACCUAAGCUAAGGACCAGGAAGAGCUUCUUGUAUAGAAAAGAUUAAAAAAAAAAAUAAUAGUGCUUCAUACAGUAAAUAAAGAGGUGAAAUUUCUAAGGUCUGCUUAAAGUCAGACAGCUAAGGUAGAUCCAUACAGCUGUAAUUAGGGGUAGCAGAAGUAUGUGUUGGUAUCUUCCAGCACCACAUAUAAUUUUCUGAACUCUCCCAGGACUUUGUUGUGGUGCUUGUGAGCCUCUCGCAAUUCCAUUAACCAGCACUCAGGAUCCAAAUGGCAAAGGUACACUGAGGUGUGAAGUGACCAGCAUCUCAGGGUUAAACUGGCAGACUCAUUGCCUACCACAAUCUGUGCAAGACGUUCUUGACAAAUAGCUACCUGACUGUCAGGAAUCAGCCAGGCUUCAACAUUUUUCUUCUGCAUUCCUUUGCUGCCGCUGGUAACAGUUUUGCUGAUUAACUUUUCUGUCAGCAAGAUUCAUAACUUCGGAUUGUCUUGGACUACUAUCACAGUUUGUGUCAGAGACUAUUUCAUAAAGGGCAUGCUUUCUAC
rnacentral:lncRNA from 7 species